AAAACUUUCAACAACGGAUCUCUUGGUUCCAGCAUCGAUGAAGAACGCAGCGAAAUGCGAUAAGUAAUGUGAAUUGCAGAAUUCAGUGAAUCAUCGAAUCUUUGAACGCACAUUGCGCCCCUCGGUAUUCCGGGGGGCAUGCCUGUUCGAGCGUCAUUG
rnacentral:rRNA from 9 species